rnacentral:hammerhead_ribozyme from 1 species
AUCCAGAUGACUAGUCUCACAUAGGACAAAAACGCGCGUCCUGGAU